GAUGAAGAACGCAGCGAAAUGCGAUAACUAAUGUGAAUUGCAGAAUUCCGUGAAUCAUCGAGUCUUUGAACGCACAUUGCGCCCCCUGGUAUUCCGGGGGGCAUGCCUGUCCGAGCGUCAUUGCUGCCCAUCAAGCACGGCUUGUGUGUUGGGUCCUCGUCCCCCCCGGGGGACGUGCCCGAAAGGCAGCGGCGGCACCGCGUCCGGUCCUCGAGCGUAUGGGGCUUUGUCACCCGCUCUGCAGGCCCGGCCGGCGCUUGCCGACGCGAAAGCAACCAUUUUUUCUCCAGGUUGACCUCGGAUCAGGUAGGGAUACCCGCUGAACUUAAGCAUAUCAAUAAGCGGAGGA
rnacentral:misc_RNA from 1 species